rnacentral:misc_RNA from 1 species
AGCAGCCGCGGUAAUUCCAGCUCCAAUAGCGUAUAUUAAAGUUGCUGCAGUUAAAAAGCUCGUAGUUGAAUUUCGGGACUAAUAUGUCGGUCGUGCCUCGGUACGUACUGGUUUAUUGGUUUCUCCUUUCUGAAGAACCAUGAUGUCAUUUAUUUGGUGUCGUGGGGAAUCAGGACUGUUACUUUGAAAAAUUAGAGUGUUUAAAGCAGGCCCACGCUUGAAUACAUUAGCAUGGAAUAAUGAAAUAGGACGUUUGAUUCUAUUUUGUUGGUUUCUAGGAUCCACGUAAUGAUUAAUAGGGAUAGUUGGGGGCAUUAGUAUUCAAUUGUCAAAGGUGAAAUUCUUGGAUUUAUUGAAGACUAACUACUGCGAAAGCAUUUGCCAAGGAUGUUUUCAUUAAUCAAGAAUGAAAGUUAGGGAAUCGAAGACGAUCAGAUACCGUCGUAGUCUUAACCAUAAACUAUGCCGACUAAGGAUCGGAUGAUGUUAAUUUUUAAUGUACUCAUUCGGCGCCUUACGG